GAGAAAGCCCACUUCACAAAGGAAGAGCGAAAGCCGGGGGAGGAAGGAGCUCGUCCUCGUCCUCGGUGGCUCGCAGAAGCAGGGAGCAGACGCGUGACACAGGCGCAGGCGAACGGGCGUGGGGCGGCAGGAAGCCGGGGCGAGACACAGGCGGGGCACAAAGAUAGUCAUGCAGACAGGCUUUUAAUUAGGCACAAGAAAAGACAAGACAAAACCAAAGCAAACAAAACAGAAGUCCCCACUAAAAUCAGCCCUGCACAGGAUGCUGGCCCUGGUUCCCACCCCCUGCACUAGGGAGUGGCGGGCAGCGCCACCGUGAUUCACCCGCCCUCGCUGGAGUCCUAACGUGUUUACAAGGACAUGGCGUCAGGUGCAAUUGUUUUGGAGCUGAAUCCUAGCUAGUUAUGUCUGUGUCUGUGUGAGACAGGCCCGGUUAUGUCACCAAAGCUGUAAUGGUUGGUGUGCCGUGAGCCGGCCUGUCCUCUUCCUGCCCCUGGAUGCUGUUUCCCCAGCGUGGACCCUUGCUGCAGAGCCCCUGGGUGCCCAGCCUAGCCAGGACGGCAUGGGUGAGAGAUGCUGCCACAGGUUCUCUUGUGGAAUACGAGCGUCUGGCAAACUGAAUUCCAGCAGCCUUAGCCCACCAGCAAGUGACCGGAAGUGACCCACGAGUGCAGAUAGCACGCAGGACUGGAAGGCCAAGGCCAAGGCCUUGCUCCAAGCCCUGGCUCUGGUGCAGUUUCCCCACUCAAAGCCUGUGCCCUUGCCACUUGCUGGUGGCCUCUUCCCGGGCAGGCCAGUCCUGGAGAGAAUGCUGACUGUGUAUAUCCCUCUCUUCCCGCCACGUUCCGGGGCUCCAGAGCCACUGCAAGUGCUUCAGAAUAAAGAAAUCAACACUUGGGAUGAAAAUGUGUUUGAAACAAUUCUAAACAAAAACGAAAACAAAACCAGAACACUGUUUUUCAGAGCAAGUUUUUUUUUUUUUUUUUACUCUCAAAGUAAAACAAAGUUUCAACGUUUAAGCUUUUAGGUAUAUUUACAGUUAAAUUACUACUUUAAAAAAAUUACCUUGCUACCUAAAAUAUAUUUAUGAAAGAUAAUAAGCUUUAGAUUAAAAUCUAACAGACACGUAUGUAUAUUCUGAUGUACAGCAUCAGCUUCUAAAUGGAAAUUACUAUUUCCAUCCAUAAAUAAUUUUAUAGUACUCAUACAUUUGCUUUAAUAAGGCUUUCACAAUAUACCUAAUUUUAUGUAAAUGUUAUUCACAUUUUCAUCCAAGAGUUUUGUAGGGGAGGUUAAAGGGUGUUUGUCUUGAUUCGUUAAAAUGUACCAUUAAAAUUAAGCAGAGAUAAAUAUUAUGACUUUUUAAAAUUGUUUUAAAUGGCUGUAUUUGUUUAUAAGAUUUGUGUCGAUGUGCAAUAUUUUAACUCUUUAAAUGUAACCUAAUUUGAUGAAUUGUUCAUAUAGGAGCUGUGAUCAGAAAAGAGAUCUAGUAAUUUCACGAAUUCAACAAUUAGCUUGUAUUCUUAGUAAUUCCCUCUUUAUGAGGACUCAGUGAAAUAAAAUGCUGUAUGCAAUACUUAAAAACCAAUGAGAGUGAACAUACAAAAAGAAAGUUAGAGAUUUUAUUUUCUAAAAUACUAAUUUGCAUGCAACUAUCAUGAUGCUUUGUGCUUAAAGUGUGUUUUUGUGCACAAAAUUUUAAUGUUUAAGGAGGCCAUAUAUUUAUUUAGAAUAAUUAUAGUAAGAAUAAAUGUUUAUUUAGAAUAAUUAUAAUAAGAAUAAAUGCAAAUUGACAAAGAAUAUUUCAUCAUUUCAUUUCAGUUUGUUUAAAAAUACUUCUGAAAAUGAUAUUUUAAAAAGCAAAGAGCCCAGAAAUGUCUCCCCAUCAGCACGGAACUAUUAUAUUCUUACAUGUUACUUAUUAAAAGUAAUCAGCAAGGCUAGAGCGUAGAUAAGGCAGGGCUCUAAAUGAAACCUUAGCCGAAAAUUCAAAAGUGCAUUUCAGAAUCAAGUAUUAAUAGAAUAAACUUAAUUUUAGUUUCUCA